rnacentral:rRNA from 1 species
AGGGGGAUAACUACUGGAAACGGUAGCUAAUACCGCAUAACGUCGCAAGGACCAAAGAGGGGGACCUUCGGGCCUCUUGCCAUCGGAUGUGCCCAGAUGGGAUUAGCUAGUAGGUGGGGUAACGGCUCACCUAGGCGACGAUCAGUAGCCGGACUGAGAGGUUGACCGGCCACAUUGGGACUGAGACACGGCCCAGACUCCUACGGGAGGCAGCAUG